AGAGUUUGAUCCUGGCUCAGGAUGAACGCUAGCUACAGGCUUAACACAUGCAAGUCGAGGGGAAACGACAUCGAAAGCUUGCUUUUGAUGGGCGUCGACCGGCGCACGGGUGAGUAACGCGUAUCCAACCUGCCCACCACUUGGGGAUAACCUUGCGAAAGUAAGACUAAUACCCAAUGACGUCUCUAGAAGACAUCUGAAAGGGAUUAAAGAUUUAUCGGUGAUGGAUGGGGAUGCGUCUGAUUAGCUUGUUGGCGGGGUAACGGCCCACCAAGGCUACGAUCAGUAGGGGUUCUGAGAGGAAGGUCCCCCACAUUGGAACUGAGACACGGUCCAAACUCCUACGGGAGGCAGCAGUGAGGAAUAUUGGUCAAUGGGCGAGAGCCUGAACCAGCCAAGUAGCGUGCAGGAUGACGGCCCUAUGGGUUGUAAACUGCUUUUAUAAGGGAAUAAAGUGAGCCUCGUGAGGCUUUUUGCAUGUACCUUAUGAAUAAGGACCGGCUAAUUCCGUGCCAGCAGCCGCGGUAAUACGGAAGGUCCGGGCGUUAUCCGGAUUUAUUGGGUUUAAAGGGAGCGUAGGCCGGAGAUUAAGCGUGUUGUGAAAUGUAGACGCUCAACGUCUGCACUGCAGCGCGAACUGGUUUCCUUGAGUACGCACAAAGUGGGCGGAAUUCGUGGUGUAGCGGUGAAAUGCUUAGAUAUCACGAAGAACUCCGAUUGCGAAGGCAGCUCACGGGAGCGCAACUGACGCUGAAGCUCGAAAGUGCGGGUAUCGAACAGGAUUAGAUACCCUGGUAGUCCGCACGGUAAACGAUGGAUGCCCGCUGUUGGCUUGAAUUAGUCAGCGGCCAAGCGAAAGCAUUAAGCAUCCCACCUGGGGAGUACGCCGGCAACGGUGAAACUCA
rnacentral:rRNA from 1 species